UGUUUAAUUAAAACAAGGUAUCUCAAAGGCCCGUGGUGGGUGUUGAUGCAAUGUGAUUUCUGCCCAGUGCUCUGAAUGUCAGUGAAGAAAUUUAAUGAAGCACAGGUAAACGAGGGGUGGGGGGGCCUAAAUAUUUUAUUUAUCUAUUUUCUUUAUUGUUUAUCUCUCUCAUUGGAAUGGAA
rnacentral:ncRNA from 1 species